rnacentral:rRNA from 1 species
UACAGAGGGGGCAAGCGUUGUUCGGAAUUACUGGGCGUAAAGGGCGCGUAGGCGGCCUGUUAAGUCGAACGUGAAAUCCCCGGGCUCAACCCGGGAACUGCGUCCGAUACUGGCAGGCUUGAAUUCGGGAGAGGGAUGCGGAAUUCCAGGUGUAGCGGUGAAAUGCGUAGAUAUCUGGAGGAACACCGGUGGCGAAGGCGGCAUCCUGGACCGAGAUUGACGCUGAGGCACGAAAGCCAGGGGAGCAAACGGG